CAGGAAAGUCUUGAUCCUUAGCUGAAGAUUUCUGCAGUAUGAGCAACAGGGCAAAGUAGCUGAUCACAUCUGAAAUGACUAGGAAACAAAGGCUAAAUAUGGAAUUAGUAGAUAUUGUGAUUAGAGCAGUUGAGAACUUGAUGUUCUGAUUUCAAAGAAAAAUAAGAAAUUCUGAAAAGAAAAUAGAUCUGCUUCAACUGGAAAAAAAAAAGUGUUUUUUGUUCUUGUUUUUGUUUUUAGCUAAAUGUAGGCCUGAAAAUACUGUUUCAACUUAAUUGGAAGCAUUCAAUUGGGCUGAAAUGAAUGCAAAGUUCACUUCCAGUCACUGUCAUGACUAGAUCAGAUGCUAACUUCUAGCUUGCUGAAAGCAAGGAAAGUAUAAUAAACGCCAUGCUUACCCAUACAGGACAAAGAAACAAGGUGUGAUUUUCCAGUCACCCAGCACAGUGCUUGCACCAUGCCAGAGGAUGAGGAGAUGACAGCUGCAGCUGCAUGGCCACAGAUGGAUUUACUGGGAAUUGUAAGGAGCUGAUGUCCCAUCGUGUCCAUAGGACAGAAAAUGUACUGCCACCAGAAAAGCUGUUACCCACAGCUCCUUGUAGGAUGGGCAGAGGGCUAAUGAUCAUGCUCAGGAACUCAUACAGAAUGAGUCUGUCCACUACCCAUAUCAGACUGAUGCAGAGGCUGAUGACCCUGAGAGUGCUGGAAAGUCCAUCUGCUC
ensembl:lncRNA